CGACGUGAGGAACCUGCCUUUCAGAGGGGGACAACAGUUGGAAACGACUGCUAAUACCGCAUAAUGCAUAGGUAUCGCAUGGUACAGAUGCCAAAGAUUUAUCGCUGAGAGAUGGCCUCGCGUCUGAUUAGCUAGUUGGUAGGGUAACGGCCUACCAAGGCGACGAUCAGUAGCCGGACUGAGAGGUUGGCCGGCCACAUUGGGGACUGAGAUACGGCCCAGACUCCUACGGAAGGCAGCAG
rnacentral:rRNA from 1 species